rnacentral:rRNA from 1 species
GAAUCAACGCGGGCGGCGCGCCUAACACAUGCAAGUCGAACGAGAAAGGGGAGCAAUCCCUGAGUACAGUGGCGUACGGGUGAGUAACACGUGGAUGAUCUACCUCUUAGUGGGGAAUAACUAUGGGAAACCGUAGCUAAUACCGCAUAAGCCUGAGAAGGGAAAGCAGCAAUGCGCUGAGAGAGGAGUCCGCGGCCGAUUAGCUAGUUGGUGGGGUAAGAGCCCACCAAGGCUGAGAUCGGUAGCCGGCCUGAGAGGGCACACGGCCACACUGGCACUGAAACACGGGCCAGACUCCUACGGGAGGCAGCAGUGGGGAAUCUUGCACAAUGGGGGAAACCCUGAUGCAGCGACGCCGCGUGAGCGAUGAAGCCCUUCGGGGUGUAAAGCUCUUUCGGCAGGGAAGAUUAUGACGGUACCUGCAGAAGCAGCUGCGGCUAACUACGUGCCAGCAGCCGCGGUAAUACGUAGGCAGCAAGCGUUGUUCGGAGUUACUGGGCGUAAAGGGUGUGUAGGCGGUUGUUUAAGUUUGGUGUGAAAUCUCCCGGCUCAACCGGGAGGGUGCGCCGAAUACUGAAUGACUAGAGUGCGGGAGAGGAAAGUGGAAUUCCUGGUGUAGCGGUGAAAUGCGUAGAUAUCAGGAGGAACACCGGUGGUGUAGACGGCUUUCUGGACCGUAACUGACGCUGAGACACGAAAGCGUGGGUAGCAAACAGGAUUAGAUACCCUGGUAGUCCACGCCCUAAACGAUGCAUAUUUGGUGUGGGCAGUUCAUUCUGUCCGUGCCGGAGCUAACGCGUUAAAUAUGCCGCCUGGGGAGUACAGUCGCAAGGCUGAAACU